GGAAACCCAAGUCGGGACCCCAGGACGCGAUUCGGCUUCUAGCUUCGCCUCCAAUCAGGACACUCCUGGUAAAUUGGGCAGACAAGAAAUGGAAAUCGCAGGCGCCUCUAAAUGGAAGCUUGCUAAGCCAAUAAAGGCACAUCGCAGGGAGGCCAGGGAUCCUGCGACAGAGGCGCGGCGGACACUGAAACAAAACUCGGUUCUUUGGCGGAGAAGGAGAGGAGGGCGUCGGGAAGACUGUGCUGGGAAAGAAAAAGCUCAGGCGCGGCUACAGCCGAAGGACUCGGGAACAGAGGCGCCGCGGCCCUGCCAGCCUGGCUGCCACUAAGGAACUCUGUUAUGGCAACCGCGGAAACUGCACGUUAGAACCCAUCAGAGCUGUGUAUUCGGCGGUGCCACCGAGAAGACGCGCGCACAGAACAACUAGCUGAGCCGAGACCAAGAGAAAGUGGGCGGGAGAGAAUGGUGUGCUGGGAUUCCGCAAAGGACCUCAACUAGCCUUAGUGCCAGGGACAAACUUCCACUUUGGCGCCAACCACGGUGCUGUCACCUAGCAUCAGGCUACGCAAAGAAAGGAGCCUUACUGCCACCCAGGCUUGGUGCAAAUAUGUGCUGUGACAGGAAAACUGUCGGGGGCACGCUGCUGGUCAGAGAGCUAAUGGGAACACCGGGAAAGGUAACCGGGAAAGGCUGCACCAACUGGCCUAGGAAGGAGAAAGGGAUAGCCCAGAGUUCUCUCUGUCCAACUAAUGGCAGUGCUAAGGAGAAAAAGCAGGCUCUUUCUCUUUAGGGUGCGGCGCAAGUGAACUGCGAUUCCAAUUGCUGGCUUCACUGGACCCUGCCUGCAAAAGCCAAAACCAGCUUAUGGCUUUGCCGAGGCCAAAGGCAUCGCUUCUGGCUCCUUCAGCGGUGCAGCAAGUAAAUCUACACCAGCUGGUAGCAGCAAUGUCGAUCUGCACUACUGGAAGGGAUGCCCCACAGAGACUGCAGACUCCACCAUGUGCAUCUCCAGCAGCCCUUAAGAUCUGCCACACUCCUCUGGUCCCAUCAAAUCAAUUCCAUCCUCUUCCUAAAUGAGCCUGGGAUGUUUGCAGGAGGCACAGGUGUCCCAGAGAGGCUCUGCCAGUGAUUCUCCAGAAGCCUUUGGUCUACUACGAGGGGAGCACCCUGAUUUCUCUUGUUCUGGGGAUUCAGCCUCUUGGACUGUGCAGAUACUUUGUUUUUCCAGUUCUCCAGCCUACAGACUGCCAUUGUGGAUGAUCCAGCUUCUGGUCAAGAGUAGCCCAGAAGAGUAGAAAUCAUCAGGCAAGGGGACUCUGAAGACUUUUCAUCCUCUGAGAGUCUGCAGCUAUGGAGAAGCAUUUCCCCAGCUGUGUGAAGGAGGCCUGGGAUUGUGGCUCCAGGGCCACAGGCACUGCUGGCCCUCAUGGAAUCAGAUCCUAGGCCCUGGCCUCUGUCUUUUUAUCCUAGGCUGAGCUUCCUUUCUUGGAAUCACCAGGACUUUAACCGUGAAACACUUUUAAAACCCUGUGGGUUUCUUGGCUCUGACUGCCCCCUCCAUGAAUCCGGAUUGCACAGCACUUUGAGAAGAGGCACAGAGCUGCCUGCCUGCCCAGGCCCAAAGCCUCUGACCCAGCAAGAGCCGCAUACCCCACUAGGAGAAUUGGAUGCCUCUAAGAAACUAGGCAGACCAGUGCCCAUGCUCUUUCCAGCAUUGUGCUGUGCGGAUGUCAAGAGCCACUGCCUGAGGUUUCCACUCCCAUGCAGAGACUUUAGAUUUUAAGGCUCUGGACUCCUGGCUGCCUGCCUUUGGCUUGAGAGCACUGGCAACUCUGCGAACAUGCUGCAAUGGAUGAUCAUCUGAGAAGAAACAGUGUUAAAAUAAACAAUUCUCAGAUUAGCAACCAAGUGAGAAGUUUACGCCUUCUUGAAUUUUCAUAAAAU